GCCCGGGUGGCGGAAUGGCAGACGCGCAGGUCUCAAAAACCUGUGGGCUUUUUGCUCAUGUGGGUUCGACUCCCUCCCCGGGCA
rnacentral:tRNA from 7 species